UGGGGAAUUUUGGACAAUGGGCGAAAGCCUGAUCCAGCAAUGCCGCGUGUGUGAAGAAGGCCUUCGGGUUGUAAAGCACUUUUGUCCGGAAAGAAAUCCUUGGCUCUAAUACAGUCGGGGGAUGACGGUACCGGAAGAAUAAGCACCGGCUAACUACGUGCCAGCAGCCGCGGUAAUACGUAGGGUGCAAGCGUUAAUCGGAAUUACUGGGCGUAAAGCGUGCGCAGGCGGUUUGCUAAGACCGAUGUGAAAUCCCCGGGCUCAACCUGGGAACUGCAUUGGUGACUGGCAGGCUAGAGUAUGGCAGAGGGGGGUAGAAUUCCACGUGUAGCAGUGAAAUGCGUAGAGAUGUGGAGGAACACCGAUGGCGAAGGCAGCCCCCUGGGCCAAUACUGACGCUCAUGCACGAAAGCGUGGGGAGCAAACAGGAUUAGAUACCCUGGUAGUCCACGCCCUAAACGAUGUCAACUGGUUGUCGGGCCUUCAUUGGCUUGGUAACGUAGCUAACGCGUGAAGUUGACCGCCUGGGGAGUACGGUCGCAAGAUUAAAACUUAAAUGAAUUGACGGGGUCAUAGCUGUUUCCU
rnacentral:rRNA from 1 species